AUGGCAGACUCAGGCCCCGACUGCCAAAGCUACAGGGUGACCCGGAGCCCGGCACUCCAGUCCACGUGCAACAGCCCUCCGGGACCGCGUGGAAGAGCACACCGAGAAGAGACACCCGAAGCCAUCUGGGCUCCGGCCGGCGGUCUCUGCUGGGAGCCAGGAUUCAUCUACGGGGAGCCGGAGCAGAAACGCUCCCGCUUUUCCCAGCACACAUCUGAGCUCCCCCCCGGACACCCCGGGGCGAAGAGCGCGCUCAGCCAGCAGCAGAGCCACGGCCCGGCACGGCUGGAGCCAGCCCUGCAGAGCACUGCUUCCUCACGCCCUCGCCCGGCUCCUGCGCUGCUGCCUGUCCCCCCAUCCCAACACCCCCACGGAAGGCAGCCCCAGGGCAGCACACGGGGACAAGAGCCCGGAGCUCUCGCCCUCGCCGCCACUCGGUUUGGCCCCGUCUCUGCCCACCCACCCGCUGCUGGCGCUCGCCACGGAGCGGCACAAGUCUCUUGGAAACACGCGGCCGUCAGGAGGAGGAGGAGAGCAAGGCGGGCGGGGGCCGUGGCCCCCCACACUCGUGCCAUGCUGCCACCACCGCCGCUGCAGCCACAGCGAGUGCUGCUGGGCGGCGCAGAACGCCUGGGGCGCACGCUGAGCAUUGUGAGCUCACGGCUCCAGGCGCUGUGCCCCCGCGUCCCCAUGACGCGCAGCUGUUCCGCCACCACGGCCGGCUUCCCCCUGGGCUCGCCGUGCGCCUGCCGUGCUGGGGGAGGAUUCGCAGGCAUCCGGAGCGGCGGGAGACCGCUGAUGUCACACGGACGGCACGGAAAUGGGGAAUGCUGGAACGGCUCGGCUGGGCAGGGACAUGAAAGACACGGAGACGCCGUCAAAGCAGAACGAAAAUCACUUCAGUGCUGUUCUUACUGCCGCGUGCGAAUCAGGAGAUUCGUUUUCUCUCUUAACGCCGAAACAGAAGCCGGUUCUUCAGUGACAUUAUAUUUGUUAUCACAGAUGGCAAACUGA
rnacentral:lncRNA from 1 species